UUCCGUCUGCAGAUGAAUAAGGCAACAACAGCAACGAGCAUGCCAAUUAAGAACAGACCAGCACUCACACCUUCAAUAACUCCAAACAGAGGCUCUACAAUGAUCCAGAGGGCAACAAGAAACCCAGAUAAGAAAGCUGAGGCUUGGAGGUGCUCAGUGACCUGCCCAGUUUCACAUAGAAACUUUUUCUUCUUCCCUACGUCAUACUUCAGGUUUGUUAAACCAGCUUGGACAACAUCAUUGUCACUAUCGAGAUAAACUCCUUUCUUGCCACUCCUUCCUCACCCCUUAGGCCUUCAAAUCCUCAACCAAAACACUUGGCUACCCAACAUGCUAAAUACACCGCUCUAUUUCCAAUUACCUGUGAAGCCCUCAAUGAAGGCCGACUGCUGGACAUCUCCACUAAUCGUCAAGACAAGAAUUUUAUACUUGCGCCCUGGUGUGAGG